rnacentral:rRNA from 1 species
UACAGAGGUCCCAAGCGUUGUUCGGAUUCACUGGGCGUAAAGGGUGCGUAGGUGGUGAGGUAAGUCGGAUGUGAAAUCUCCGAGCUCAACUCGGAAUGGCAUUGGAAACUACCUUGCUCGAGGGUUGGAGGGGGGACUGGAAUGCUUGGUGUAGCAGUGAAAUGCGUAGAUAUCAAGCGGAACACCAGUGGCGAAGGCGAGUCCCUGGACAACUCCUGACACUGAGGCACGAAAGCUAGGGGAGCAAACAGG